ensembl:lncRNA
CACACACACACACACACACACACUCACUCCAGUCUCCACCACACACACUCACUCACUCACUCCAGUCUCUACCUACCACAGGCACAGUAAUCACUGGGCUCCCACAUACAUCACAAAUUGCCACAUACCCCCCCAGUCUGUGACUCGCCACAGAGCCCAUAUUCUGAUCCUCUGGCCUCCCCACAUCACUGUCACCGCACCCCUCCCCCAGCACGGAUUUCCAUAAGCUGCAGCACCCGGGGACCCCGCAGCCCCCCGCCAGGAGGUCCUCCCGCGUCGCCGCCCAUUCCCAGAUCGCGGGUAACGGACGCCACCGUCACACCCUCCCAUCACCGACCCCCGUUAGGCCACCUCCGCCCGCCCCGCGCUCACCGCGGCGCUGCCCCCCGGCUGGGGCGCAGCCAUCUCGGCGGGACGCCCGGCCCCCUCGGCCGUCCCCGCGCUCCCCCUCGGGCCCACGCCCUCCGGCUUUGUGCGCACCCGCUCGCAGGCCGAGGCCGACAUGGCGGCGCUGGAGCGCGGCCUCAGCCGGGCCCGCGGCUGCCAUGGCGGCGCCCCUGGGCAGCCGGCUGGGCGCGGCCAUCUUGCCGAGGCUCCGCCGUACAGCGGCUCCCGGGCUCGCCGAGGGUCCUGAGCGGCGACGUCCGGAGGCUCGGCCGCGGGGACGCGGGAGGCGGGAGGCGGGAGGCCGUUCCCGUGGGUCACUGCGGCCCCUGCCCGCGGGCCCUGGGAGCGGGAGGGAUGGAGCGAGGCGGGAGGCGAAGCCCGAGGCUGCGCUCUGCACGGUGUCCUGGGGAAAGAGCGCUGAUCGCUCAAAUGCGUCUUUGCAUAGACGGGGUAAGAACAAUGAGAAAAAAAGGCCGCGGCAGGUUCAGUGAACACACGACUCCUCGGCGAGAACGCAAGUCCAAUGCAUGGAGAUCGAGUGCAGCCAAGAACCAAUGAUAUCACUCCCAGGAUAAGAUCCCAAACAGGUUGAUUUUGAGUUCAUAAACGUGGAGAUUAUCCUGGGUGGACCUGACCCAAUCAGGUGAGCCCUUACAAGGGACUGGCCCCUUCCUGAAGUCAAAAUUACAAAUAUAAACAGGCCAGUGGAGGAGCCACAUGGCAAGGACUUGAAAUCAGCCUCUGGGAGCUGAGAGUAGUUUUUGUGCUCUACAACUAGCAAGACAACAAGGACCUCUGCCCUCAGCAGCAAGGAAUGAUUUCUGCUAACAAUCUGAGGGAGCUUGGAAGCAUAUCCUUCCCUAGUGGAACCUCUAGAUGGUACACAAUCCAGCUAACACCUUGAUUUCACCUUUGUGUGACCUUGAGUCAUGCCACAGUCAGAUUUCUGACCUACUGAAAUCCUGAGAUAAUACAUUUGUGUUGUUUCAAUUCAGUAAAGUUAGUGAUAAUUUCUUAUGGAGCAACAGAAAACUAAAGCCUCGGUGUCCAUCGAAAGAUGAAUGGAUAAAGAAGAUGUGGUUUAUGUAUACAAUGGAAUAUUACUCAGCAAUUAGAAACGACAAAUACCCACCAUUUGCUUCAACGUGGAUGGAACUGGAGGGUAUUAUGCUGAGUGAAAUAAGUCAGUCGGAGAAGGACAAACAGUGUAUGUUCUCAUUCAUUUGGGGAAUAUGAAUAAUAGUGAAAGGGAAUAUAAAGGAAGGGAGAAGAAAUGUUGGGAAAUAUCAGGAAGGGAGACAGAACAUAAAGACUCCUAACUCGGGGAAANNNNNNNNGUGUUGGAGGGGAAUGGGUGACGGGCACUGAGGGGGACACUUGACGGGAUGAGCACUGGGUGUUUUUCUGUAUGUUGGUAAAUUGAACACCAAUAAAAAUUAAUUAAAAAAAAAAAAAAAGACUCA